UUGCACGCUGGCGGCAGGCCUAACCCCUGCACGUCGCACGGUAACAGGAAGAAGCUUGCUUCUUUGCUGACGAGUGGCGGACGGGUGAGUAAUGUCUGGGAAACUGCCUGAUGGAGGGGGAUAACUACUGGAAACGGUAGCUAAUACCGCAUAACGUCGCAAGACCAAAGAGGGGGACCUUCGGGCCUCUUGCCAUCGGAUGUGCCCAGAUGGGAUUAGCUUGUUGGUGGGGUAACGGCUCACCAAGGCGACGAUCCCUAGCUGGUCUGAGAGGAUGACCAGCCACACUGGAACUGAGACACGGUCCAGACUCCUACGGGAGGCAGCAGUGGGGAAUAUUGCACAAUGGGCGCAAGCCUGAUGCAGCCAUGCCGCGUGUAUGAAGAAGGCCUUCGGGUUGUAAAGUACUUUCAGCGGGGAGGAAGGGAGUAAAGUUAAUACCUUUGCUCAUUGACGUUACCCGCAGAAGAAGCACCGGCUAACUCCGUG
rnacentral:rRNA from 1 species